rnacentral:rRNA from 1 species
GGAAUCUUCCACAAUGGACGAAAGUCUGAUGGAGCAACGCCGCGUGAGUGAAGAAGGUUUUCGGAUCGUAAAACUCUGUUGUUGGAGAAGAACACGUUUGAGAGUAACUGUUCAGACGUUGACGGUAUCCAACCAGAAAGCCACGGCUAACUACGUGCCAGCAGCCGCGGUAAUACGUAGGUGGCAAGCGUUAUCCGGAUUUACUGGGUGUAAAGGGUGUGUAGGCGGGUGAUCAAGUCAGAUGUGAAAUACCUUGGCUCAACCAAGGAAUUGCAUUUGAAACUGACCAUCUUGAGAGCAGGAGAGGUAAGCGGAAUUCCCAGUGUAGCGGUGAAAUGCGUAGAGAUUGGGAGGAACACCAGUGGCGAAGGCGGCUUACUGGACUGCAACUGACGCUGAAACACGAGAGCGUGGGGAGCAAACA